UACGAAGGGGGCUAUCGUUGCUCGGAAUCACUGGGCGUAAAGCGCACGUAGGCGGUUUGCUAAGUCAGGGGUGAAAUCCUGGAGCUCAACUCCAGAACUGCCUUUGAUACUGGCAAUCUCGAGUCCGGGAGAGGUGAGUGGAACUGCGAGUGUAGAGGUGAAAUUCGUAGAUAUUCGCAAGAACACCAGUGGCGAAGGCGGCUCACUGGCCCGGUACUGACGCUGAGGCGCGAAAGCGUGGGGAGCAAACAGG
rnacentral:rRNA from 1 species